CUGUACACAGGACCAAAAGUGCAGGCACAUCAUUUAUUGAUAAGACAAAAAGAAUGUAAUGAAAUUAUCAAUGUUCUUGAAUUAAUUAUGAACAUGAUUAAGAAAGCUAAAAUCUCAGGAGCCAGGACCUCAUUACCCAUUCAGUCUUAGGGAUUGCUUUCAUUCAGCAAGGCAAAAAGGAGUUGAGCGGCCACAAUCGCCUUCCUCUCAUUUAUUUGUGCUAGAAUUAAGGUUUAUUUGUUUUCUGUUUCCUUCGUCUUCAGAUUGUUUCUCUGUCUCCAUCCAUUUCACAAACCCCUUUCCUCCUGUAUCUCAGAAGGGAGCACCUCCAGGGCCUACAUUUCUGCAGCCCGCACACCUCCUUGAGUGUGUGUCUCUCAGUCUGCUGGAGCUUCUAAAUAUCUCUCAAGAUGGAGAUCAUGGUGGGUAUAGGUCAUUUGAGGACUUCACAGCGAGUUAAGCUUUUACGUCCGUACAGAAAUAUGAUAACGGGGAAAUCAUUUUUGACUCCCUUGCUUUGGUGAUACAGCCGCAGACUCAAUGACCUAACAUCCAUCCCAAAGACAAAGCGAAGACCCGAGCAACACUGUCUUCAAGGUAAGAGGAAGGAGACCCUCUGGACACUGGCACAUGGGAGAAGCCAUCCCCCCAAUUUAUAAUGAAUGAACGUCGGAGUAAAUCUCUUCAUUAACCAGAUAGAGCUUUCACUCCCAGGUGGAGAGCAUUAUAGACCACACGUGCUCAAAAUGAAGAAAACAAUUGAUAACAGCUGUGCCUGUCAAGCAUUCGGGAACGCCACAAAACCACCAAGGAGCCGACUCCAACACAAUCACACUAGGGUCUCUAUUCAAGCUGUCUUGGGCCACGCCACCAUCUCUUAUUCAGCUGGAUGGGAGGGUGAAGCUCUCAGAGGGACAAGGUUUGCUAGGAAAUGGCAACACUGAAGGAUGAAAUACUGCGGGUUAAUGUGACAGCGAUUAGUCAGAGGGAAAUCCAUCACCCACUGGCGGAACAGGCUGAAGCAGAAGAGGCCCAGGCGCUGUCCUGUUUCCAACCUGAGAAGAACGAUGCUGUCAACAUCACUUCAAUAUUAAAUGGAUAGAAUUAUCUUGUCGUUCAGUUACAGCCGCUGAAGAACUACCUAUUUGUACCUGCAAAAGGAAAGGAAUCUGCGAAUGGAGAAGCUGCAUUUAGAACAUGUUUGCAGAAUAUUUUGACCCAGUGUUUUCUCUGUUGGUGACUGGCAAUCUCCCAUCUUUGAUUUUGCUCCUAAGCAAGUGUAACAGUGGAAAUACUCGCUUGAGAAUAAGGCUAAAGUGUGUUCCAGUGUUGGCAGAUUGAAAGGCAGUGACCUACAGAUGCAAGAAAAUCCCACAUGUCACAAUAAAGAGACCGGAAAAUAUUUCCAAGUGCACAGAUAGACUGGGGGAAAGUCCUUCAGAUCAGGGAUGCAGGGUUUAACAUAGAAUACACAUGGAAAUCUGAAAGCUAAAAUGAAGGUACUAGGAUCACAAGAAGCUAAGGGGUAUGGUUCAUCAGAGAACCUUCCUUUGCAUCGGAUGACAGUCAACAGAUGCACUCUCGAACGGUCAAAGUGCAGAACACACUUAACGGCGGAGUGCUCAGCCCUAACUAACGUCUGCAUUAGAUCUCUUCACUCCGAGACUCUGAGAACACCACAGAGGAGCCGCCAUCAUGGUUUGAAGAGACAGAGACAGUGGAGGGCUUGUGUGAGAGAGUGUCUUCUGGGCAUGAAAGGGCUCUUACAUCUGAGCUUUCAAGAUAGGAUUGCCCGAGUAGGAUGUGCACCAGAUUCCUCAAAGAUCAAAGAUGGGAGGGACUCCUGAGCUACCACCCUCUCUGGAGUACUAUUGGUGGUUCAUGAAUGCUGGCGUGACUGGAAUCAUUUCUCUUUGGAAGCACGGUCAUUGAUAGGUUUUCCACACUGUCAUGGAUUGCCCCAUGUCUAUGUGCAGGAAUCUACCUUUGUUUUUCUGCUUUAAAUAUUCAGUUUUCCAUAUGAAUGUCUCUGGGUUUUGGUUCCUCCGUAAUUCUUUCACUAGAGUUUUUGUUGUGGAGGGUUUCACUGCUUCAGUUACACUCAUUUCUACCUAUUUUACUGGGAUGAAUUUUACUGCUACUGCUGUUGUUUUUGUCCUUCCCCUCCCCAGAAGUGGGGACAGAACCUAUGGCUUUGAGAAUGCCAGACAUGCGCUGUGCCACUGGGCUUCACUCCAGCCUAUUUAUUAUUUGAUCAGGGGCUAUGGUGAAUUUUUUUUAAUUGUUAGUGUGUUCGUGGUAUAUAAAAUGUUUCUAUUUGUUGCUUGUGUUUCCUAUGACUACUGAGUUUUUCUCUUCCAACACAUUUUAGUCAGUCUUCUCUGUAUAUAAAAUCUUCCCGCAAAAGAGGUUGAUCUGACACCCUCUUUUCUGAUCGAAAAUCUUAUUAUUAUUUUAUUCCUUUCUUCUGAUGAAUUUUCUUACAAAAUUUCCUUUUUCUGUUCCAAAUAAGAGGCAAAUGUAUGUGGACAUCUUUUUUUUUUUCAGAUCUCAGAGGAAACACCUUCAUCUUCUUUCACUUAGCACACAGAAGCAGUGGCUUUAUCAUAUCUAGACCUUUGUGUAGUGAGGUAUCUUCCUCCUACACUUAAUCUCUUCUGGCUUUUUUUUUCAUAAAAGCAUGUUUAACUUCAAUGAAUACUUUUACUGCACCCACUAAUGAAAUUACUUCGAUCCUCUCCUUUGCUGUUGUGAUAUAUUUUGACUUUCCAUUUGUGCGUGUUAAGCCAUCCUUGUAUCUCUGGAAUAAACUCUAUUUAACAAGGUACAUUAUCUUUUUUAUGUGUUCAUUAGUCCAUUUCCCACUUAAAGGAGGAAUGGCUUAUUUGUUCCUGUGGUUUCACAUCAUUGUUGGUCCAUUGCGUUUUGGUUUACAAAAUAGAAACAUCGUGAUUAAAAGGCAUGAGGGCAAAGCAGAGCGGCUCUCUCACCUCACAGUAUCCAAGAAGAGGACAGAGAUAGGAAAAGGGUGAGGGAACAAGAUGCUCCCUUGAAGGGCACAGCCCAGUGACCAACUUCUAACCAGACCCACUUCCUAGGAUUUCUGCCACCUCAUAACAGCACUAAGAAUUAAGGAUAUUUUUAAUAUAUAAGCCUUGGGGGAAUAUUCGAUAUCUAAGCAUUAAUCAUGUGCCUUUUGCCAGUAUCACAUUUAACCCUGAUGUUUCUUUGUUGAAUUUUAAUCUUUAUGGCUUGUCCAUUUAUGAAAGUGGACACCAAUAUCUCGAACUCUCGCUGGUUUUGAAUCUACUUUCCCUUUUUAUCUAACAACACUUUCUUUACAUAGUGUGUGUGUGUGUGUGUGUGUGUGUCUGUGUGUGUGUGUGAUAUGUGAAUUUUUUCCUGGAACAGUGCAACAGUGCAAGCAAGUACUUAUUCAUCGCAGAUAAGGCAUAGCUAUAGACCGAAGUGUGAUUCCACUGUAGACUGAUGUGGAAGACGAGUGAGUUUAUGGGCUUUCACACAGAACAUGGGUAAGCUCGAGCCAGGAACACCAAUAGAGAACCUCAGACAGUGUGUGUGCACAAUGACUUUCACAUAGGCACACCAUGCCGUUCCCUUUCCACUUAACUUUACACAGUCUGUACUCUCACACCAUCCAAGGACUACAAGCCACUGGAACAGAUGUCAGUGGUGAGGGACACAGUGGCUUAGACCACAGGUGACUAUCUAUUUGGCCUUCUCCACUCUUCCUUUUAAGAUAGUGUCAACAGGUGCAAUCAUGAAAGUGUCUUAGAGGUGACCACAGCUGCUUCUGAUGAGGACAGUAAUGGCGACUAUGCUCAGGGUCAGCUUUCUACUAUGGCUUGGAAUGGUUCUUUCUUUGUAUUCAGUUGCUCCCUCUCACUUUAUAGAGUGGUCUCCUUUAUCUUGUGUUAGUAGGUCUUAUUUGACACACAAAAUUAAUAUAAAUCAUGAUAAACACUAAAGCCUA
rnacentral:sRNA from 1 species